GGAACGGCAGCACCGAAGCGGACGUAGCGAAUGUUUUGCCGUUCCCGUCCAACUGACAUUGGAUUCCAUCUGGUCGUCCUGCAAAAGCUAAGUGCUGGGGUCCCCGGGUCCCUACAGAAUUUCCUGGAAUCUAUCAUUUGACGUCGAGGAGCUGCAGUCAGAAGAUGUGUCGAAGCAUAUUCUUCAGUGUAGUGUUUCAUGUAAGGGCGGCAGUCAGCGUGUCAGCAGAAGAGUGUGUGAGAGUGUGAUUGUCUGUGUCUGUCUGUUAGAGUUUCUGUCUGCUCAUGUCUGCAGGCAUGUGUGUGUGUGUGUGUUGAGUGGUUCUAACCUUGUGUGUACGGCCUUUGCCUUCCAGGUUUUUCAACUCAUUUUU
rnacentral:lncRNA from 1 species